rnacentral:rRNA from 1 species
GACGUAGGGUGCGAGCGUUGUCCGGAUUUAUUGGGCGUAAAGAGCUCGUAGGCGGCUCGUCGCGUCGACCGUGAAAACCCGCAGCUUAACUGCGGGCUUGCGGUUGAUACGGGCGGGCUAGAGUUCGGUAGGGGAGACUGGAAUUCCUGGUGUAGAGGUGAAAUUCGUAGAUAUCAGGAGGAACACCGGUGGCGAAGGCGGCUUCCUGGACACUUACUGACGCUGAGGAGCGAAAGCCAGGGGAGCAAACGGG